rnacentral:rRNA from 1 species
UACGGGGGGGGCAAGCGUUGUUCGGAAUUACUGGGCGUAAAGGGCUCGUAGGCGGCCAACUAAGUCAGACGUGAAAUCCCUCGGCUUAACCGGGGAACUGCGUCUGAUACUGGAUGGCUUGAGUUCGGGAGAGGGAUGUGGAAUUCCAGGCGUAGCGGUGAAAUGCGUAGAUAUCUGGAGGAACACCGGUGGCGAAGGCGGCAUCCUGGACCGACACUGACGCUGAUGAGCGAAAGCCAGGGGAGCAAACGGG